rnacentral:lncRNA from 1 species
UGAUUUCCCUGUGGCAGUUGAAGUAAUUGUUGGUGGUGUUCGGAUGGUUUACCCUUCAGCAUUUGUUUUGAUCUCUCAGAAUGACAUCCCGGUUCCUCAGAGUGUUGCCAGUGCUGGAGGCCACAUUGCAGUUGGGCAGCAAGGGCUUGGUAGUGUGAAGGACCCAAGUAACUGUGGGAUGCCUCUGACCCCUCCCACCUCUCCAGAACAGGCUAUCCUAGGUGAGAGUGGAGGUAUGCAGAGUGCUGCCAGUCACCUGGUUUCCCAAGAUGGAGGGAUGAUAACGAUGCACAGUCCAAAGAGAUCGGGGAAGAUUCCUCCAAAACUCCACAAUCAUAUGGUCCAUCGAGUCUGGAAGGAAUGCAUCCUCAACAGAACCCAGUCCAAGAGCCAAAUGUCAACUCCAACUCUUGAAGAAGAGCCUGCUAGCAAUCCUGCUACUUGGGAUUUUGUGGAUCCAACCCAAAGAGUCAGCUGUUCUUGUUCCAGGCAUAAGCUUUUAAAACGUUGUGCAGUCGGGCCCAAUCGACCUCCCACAGUAUCUCAACCAGGGUUCAGUGCAGGACCAUCAUCAUCUUCAUCUUUACCACCUCCUGCUUCUUCUAAGCACAAAACAGCAGAAAGACAGG